AUUGAACGCUGGCGGCAGGCCUAACACAUGCAAGUCGAGCGAGCGGCGGACGGGUGAGUAAUGUAUGGGGACUGACCGAUUGAGGGGGAUAACUACUGGAAACGGUGGCUAAUACCGCAUACUAUCGGAUAACCCAUAUGGGAUUAGCUAGUAGGUGGGGUAAAGGCGUACCUAGGCGACGAUGUCUAGCUGGUCUGAGAGGAUGAUCGGCCACACUGGGACUGAGACACGGCCCAAACUCCUACGGAGGCAGCAGUGGGGAAUAUGGCACAAUGGGCGAAAGUCUGAUGGAGCAAUGCCGCGUGUAUGAAGAAGGCCUUCGGGUUGUAAAGUACUUUUGUCGGGGAGGCGUUACCCGCACAGGAAGCACCGGCUAACUACGUGCCAGCAGCCGCGGUAAUUC
rnacentral:rRNA from 1 species